rnacentral:tRNA from 1 species
GGGGUUGCAGCUCAGUGGUAGAGCGCCUUCCUAGCAUGUGUGUAGCACUGAGUUCGAUUCUCAGCACCACA